UACGUAGGGGGCUAGCGUUGUCCGGAAUCAUUGGGCGUAAAGCGCGUGUAGGCGGUCCGGUAAGUCCGCUGUGAAAGUCGAGGGCUCAACCCUCGAAUGCCGGUAGAUACUGUCGGGCUUGAGUACGGGAGAGGCGAGUGGAAUUCCUGGUGUAGCGGUGAAAUGCGCAGAUAUCAGGAGGAACACCGAUUGCGAAGGCAGCUCGCUGGAACGUUACUGACGCUGAGACGCGAAAGCGUGGGGAGCAAACAGG
rnacentral:rRNA from 1 species